rnacentral:rRNA from 1 species
GAUGAACGCUGACAGAAUGCUUAACACAUGCAAGUCGAUGGGGAAGUGGUGCUUGCACCCUGGUAACCAUGGCGGACGGGUGAGUAACGCGUAAGGAACUUACCUGCGGGACCGGGAUAACAGCAGGAAACUGCUGACAAGACCGGAUAAGGUCAUUAAGCUGCAUAGCUUAGUGAUGAAAGGAGACGCCUGCGGAGAGCCUUGCGUCCUAUUAGCUAGUUGGAGGGGUAACGGCCCACCAAGGCGAAGAUAGGUAGCCGGCCUGAGAGGGUGGACGGCCACAAGGGGACUGAGAUACGGCCCUUACUCCUACGGGAGGCAGCAGUGGGGAAUAUUGGACAAUGGGGGCAACCCUGAUCCAGCAAUUCUGUGUGCACGAAGACGGUUUUCGGAUUGUAAAGUGCUUUCAGCAGGGAAGAAGGAAGUGACGGUACCUGCAGAAGAAGCGACGGCUAAAUACGUG